UUGAACGCUGGCGGCAGGCCUAACACAUGCCAGUCGAGCGGAUGAAGGGAGCCUGCUCCUGGAUUCAGCGGCGGACGGGUGAGUAAUGCCUAGGAAUCUGCCUGGUAGUGGGGGAUAACGUCCGGAAACGGGCGCUAAUACCGCAUACGUCCUGAGGGAGAAAGUGGGGGAUCUUCGGACCUCACGCUAUCAGAUGAGCCUAGGUCGGAUUAGCUAGUUGGUGGGGUAAAGGCCUACCAAGGCGACGAUCCGUAACUGGUCUGAGAGGAUGAUCAGUCACACUGGAACUGAGACACGGUCCAGACUCCUACGGGAGGCAGCAGUGGGGAAUAUUGGACAAUGGGCGAAAGCCUGAUCCAGCCAUGCCGCGUGUGUGAAGAAGGUCUUCGGAUUGUAAAGCACUUUAAGUUGGGAGGAAGGGCAGUAAGUUAAUACCUUGCUGUUUUGACGUUACCAACAGAAUAAGCACCGGCUAACUUCGUG
rnacentral:rRNA from 1 species